GACGAAGGUGGCGAGCGUUGUUCGGAAUCACUGGGCAUAAAGCGCACGUAGGCGGCGAUGUAAGUCGGGUGUGAAAUCCCUCGGCCCAACCGAGGAACUGCGCCCGAAACUGCAUUGCUUGAGGAUCAAAGGGGUGCUCGGAAUUUCCGGUGGAGCGGUGAAAUGCGUAGAUAUCUGGAGGAACAUCAGUGGCGAAGGCGACACCCUGGACUCAUACUGACACUGAGGUGCGAAAGCGUGGGGAGCAAACAGG
rnacentral:rRNA from 1 species